GUGGUUGUAGUUCAGUUGGUUAGAACGCCGGAUUGUGGUUCCGGAGGUCGUGGGUUCAAAUCCCAUCAUCCACCCGA
rnacentral:tRNA from 1 species